rnacentral:rRNA from 1 species
GUCCACGCUGUAAACGGUGAGUGCUAGACGUCGCGGGUAUUGACCCCCGCGGUGUCGCAGCUAACGCGUUAAGCACUCCGCCUGGGGAGUACGGCCGCAAGGCUAAAACUCAAAGGAAUUGACGGGGGCCCGCACAAGCGGUGGAGCAUGUGGUUCAAUUCGAAGCAACGCGAAGAACCUUACCUGGGCUUGACAUGUUGAAGGAUCUCCUCGAAAGAGGAGAGUGCCCGCAAGGGAACUUCUUCACAGGUGCUGCAUGGCUGUCGU